UACGUAGGGUGCGAGCGUUGUCCGGAAUUAUUGGGCGUAAAGGGCUCGUAGGCGGUUUGUCGCGUCGGGGAGUGAAAACUCAGGGCUUAACCCUGAGCCUGCUUCCGAUACGGGCAGACUAGAGGUAUGCAGGGGAGAACGGAAUUCCUGGUGUAGCGGUGAAAUGCGCAGAUAUCAGGAGGAACACCGGUGGCGAAGGCGGUUCUCUGGGCAUUACCUGACGGCUGAGGAGCGAAAGUGUGGGGAGCGAACAGG
rnacentral:rRNA from 1 species